CUGACAGUCAUUUAGCAAUUUAGUGUUGGCUAAGAAUUUUGGCUCUGGAAUCAGACUAUGACAUCAAAUUCUAAUUCUCUCUCUUAAUAGCUUCAUGCCCUUGGGAAAAUUAUGUAAGCUCUCUGUGACAAGUUUCCUUUACUUAUAAAAUGGCAAUGAUAGUCACCCUCAUAGGAUUGUUGUGAUGAUUAAAUGAAAACACAGUGUGGAGUUCUUGAUGAAUAUUUACCUCUCGAUAAUUUAAACUGCUGUUAUUUUCCAUUAUCUCAUUGGAUCUUGACAGUAACUGUGAGAUAGACAUGAUAAAAGGACAAGAAUCAGUCAGAGCAGAGCAUAAAGGCUACAGAAAGUAUUAAGAAAAUAAACAAAGAAAAAAAGGAGGAGAAGAAAAAUAGCCACUGGCUAAUGCAGAAUUCAGAAAUCUUAGAAUACACACAUGCAAUGUUAAUUUUCUUGCUUGGAUGAACUGGUUAGAGUGUGUGGGCCAAAGAGAAGGAAUUGAAAGAACCAUGAGGCAAAAGAGAAUGUGCUGGAGAAACUAAGAGCCUUUGCCAAAGUUUCAGAAAACUGCGAUCCUCUCUCUGAUGACCAACGACAGUUGUAAGCCUCUACAAAUGGAUAGUGAGAGACUUGGACACUGAGGUUUGAUUUUUAUGUGAAACGGAACCUUGCAUCUAUUCAAGGAGAAAAAUAAACUGACAGGAACAAGAAUCCUAAAGAAAAAACAGGGUAGGCAGAGGGGUAUGGAUCAUCUAGAGAAUACUCUAUCUAAACAGAAGUGAGAAAAAUGAACUCAUGAACUUGGCAGAAUGACGAAUCACCCAUACACAACAAUUUCAUCUCAAAAAACGAAAAGCCCGAAGCUAGUUUUAGAUUUAGAUUUUACCUUAUAAUUAAGAUUUUUGCAAGAUAGCUUCCACAACAAUGUAAAGAAAUGGUCUUUUUCUGUGGGAUUUGUGACUUUUUUUUUCAAUUUUCAGAAAGUGAACUUUAAAUUUUUGUAUUGUCAUAUUUAACACAAGAAAACCUGAUAAUAUUAAUAUUUUUAAAUGUAGGAGUUGAUUAUAAUGUAUGGUUGUAUAUUCUUAAUGGAAAGUGAUCUCUACAUUGAUCGACUGAUCAGAGAAAUUUUAUGCCCUAAGUGUACUGGAACAUGAUACCAAAAAUAAAGGUGCAUUUAUGAAAUGAUUCUGAAUUUUAUUUAAGAAACAGGGUUUCCUAUGGUCAUGCAUAUUUAAUUUAUUUAGUAGAGUUGGUCUUUUAUUCAUUGGCUUUACACUGAAGUUUUCAGAAUAGUACCACUCUGGUGCUGUAGUUAAAAAAAUUAGUCAUUCACUAAAAAAUUAGUCAC
rnacentral:lncRNA from 1 species